rnacentral:rRNA from 1 species
GACGAACGCUGGCGGCGUGCUUAACACAUGCAAGUCGAACGGUGAAGCGAGUGCUUGCACUCGUGGAUCAGUGGCGAACGGGUGAGUAACACGUGAGUAACCUGCCCAUCACUCUGGGAUAAGCACUGGAAACGGUGUCUAAUACCGGAUACGACCAACCCUUGCAUGGGGUGUUGGUGGAAAGAUUUAUCGGUGAUGGAUGGACCCGCGGCCUAUCAGCUUGUUGGCGGGGUAAUGGCCCACCAAGGCGACGACGGGUAGCCGGCCUGAGAGGGUGACCGGCCACACUGGGACUGAGACACGGCCCAGACUCCUACGGGAGGCAGCAGUGGGGAAUAUUGCACAAUGGGCGAAAGCCUGAUGCAGCGACGCCGCGUGAGGGAUGACGGCCUUCGGGUUGUAAACCUCUUUCGGCAGGGAAGAAGCGAGAGUGACGGUACCUGCAGAAGAAGCACCGGCUAACUACGUG